CCUGUUUAUCAAAAACAUAGCUUUAUGUAUAUAUAUAAAGUAAUUCCUGCCCGGUGAUAUAUUUAACGGCCGCAGUACCUUAACUGUGCUAAGGUAGCAUAAUAAUUUGGCUCGUAAUUUGGGUCUUGAAUGAAAGGAAAUACAUGAAAAUAACUGUCUUAAAUUAUUUAUUUAUAAUUUACUUAUUAGGUGAAAAUUCCUAUUUUAAUAUAUUAGACGAGAAGACCCUUAGAGUUUAUUUUCUUUUUGUUGGGGCGACAUAGUUACAUUUUAACUUACUACUUAUAGAUAUACACAUCGAGUUAUAGUAAAGGUGAAACUACCUAAGGGAUAACAGCAUAAUUUUAAAAUUAGAUUAUGACCUCGAUGUUGGAUUAGGGUAAAUACUAAUUAAGAGAAAGUAUUUUUAGUUCUGUUCGAACUUUUUCCCCUACGUGAUCUGAGUUCAGACCGG
rnacentral:rRNA from 1 species